CCUGAGAAACGGCUACCACAUCCAAGGAAGGCAGCAGGCUCGCAAAUUACCCACUCCCAGCACGGGGAGGUAGUGACGAAAAAUAACGAUACGGGACUCAUCCGAGGCCCCGUAAUCGGAAUGAGUACACUUUAAAUCCUUAUACAAGGAACAAUUGGAGGGCAAGUCUGGUGCCAGCAGCUGCGGUAAUUCCAGCUCCAAUAGCGUAUAUUAAAGUUGUUGCGGUUAAAAAGCUCGAUGUUGAAUUUGUAUUCCAUACUGUUGGUACACCGCUCGCUGCUUAACUAGCACGUCUAGGAAUGUYUUACCGGUGGUAUCAUGUUCACCCCACGAUUUGUAGUAAACUACUAGUGCGAAUGGUGACUGACCCAAAUUAUAAAUCCUAUUGCGGUGCUCUUAAUCGAGUGUCGUUAUAGGCCGGUACGUUUACUUUGAACAAAUUAGAGUGCUUAAAGCAGGCUAAUCUCGCCUGUAUAUUAUGUGCAUGGAAUAAUAAAAUAGGACCUCGGUGCUAUUUUGUUGGUUUUCGGAAUUCCGAGGUAAUGAUUAAUAGAGACAACUGGGGGCAUUCGUAUUGCGACGUUAGAGGUGAAAUUCUUGGACCGUCGCAAGACGUACAUAAGCGAAAGCAUUUGCCAAAUGUGUUUUCAUCAAUCAAGAACGAAAGUUAGAGGUUCGAAGGCGAUCAGAUACCGCCCUAGUUCUAACCAUAAACGAUGCCAACUAGCGAUCCGCCGAAGUCCCUAUGUUGACUCGGUGGGCAGCUUCUGGGAAACCAAAGUUUUUGGGUUCCGGGGGAAGUAUGGUUGCAAAGCUGAAACUUAAAGGAAUUGACGGAAGGGCACCACCAGGAGUGGAGCCUGCGGCUUAAUUUGACUCAACACGGGAAACCUCACCAGGCCCAGACACUGGAAGGAUUGACAGAUUAAGAGCUCUUUCUUGAUUCAGUGGUUGGUGGUGCAUGGCCGUUCUUAGUUGGUGGAGUGAUUUGUCUGGUUAAUUCCGAUAACGAACGAGACUC
rnacentral:rRNA from 1 species